rnacentral:rRNA from 1 species
AGCAGCCGCGGUAAUUCCAGCUCCAAUAGCGUAUAUUAAAGUUGUUGCAGUUAAAAAGCUCGUAGUUGAAUUUCGGGAUCAAUAUGUUGGUCGUGCCUUGGUACGUACUAGUUUAUUGGUUUCUUCCUUCUGACGAACCAUGAUGUCAUUAAUUUGGUGUCAUGGGGAAUCAGGACUGUUACUUUGAAAAAAUUAGUGUUUAAAGCAAGCUCACGCUUGAAUACAUUAGCAUGGAAUAAUGAAAUAGGACGUUUGAUUCUAUUUUGUUGGUUUCUAGGAUCGACGUAAUGAUUAAUAGGGAUAGUUGGGGGCAUUAGUAUUCAAUUGUCAGAGGUGAAAUUCUUGGAUUUAUUGAAGACUAACUACUGCGAAAGCAUUUGCCAAGGAUGUUUUCAUUAAUCAAGAACGAAAGUUAGGGGAUCGAAGACGAUCAGAUACCGUCGUAGUCUUAACCAUAAACUAUGCCGACUAGGGAUCGGAUGAUGUUAAUUUUUUAAUGUACUCAUUCGGCGCCUUAUAC